rnacentral:rRNA from 1 species
UACGUAGGGGGCAAGCGUUGUCCGGAAUCAUUGGGCGUAAAGCGCGUGUAGGCGGCCCGGUAAGUCCGCUGUGAAAGUCGGGGGCUCAACCCUCGAAUGCCGGUGGAUACUGUCGGGCUAGAGUGCGGGAGAGGCGAGUGGAAUUCCUGGUGUAGCGGUGAAAUGCGCAGAUAUCAGGAGGAACACCGAUGGCGAAGGCGGGUCUCUGGGCCGUAACUGACGCUGGAGGAGCGAAAGCGUGGGGAGCGAACAGG